AACGGUCGGAGCGCGAGGUGAUGGUCGACGAGUGUCCGGGGAGGGAGGUGAUGGUCAGUGAGUGUCCGGGAAGCGGAUGAUGGUCAUUGAUAAAUGUACAACAACAAAAAUGGAAAACUUUGUCCUUUAUGAGGAAAUUGGAAAAGGAAAUAAGUCAACCGUUUACAAAGGCAGAAGAAAGGGAACUAUCAACUUUGUAGCAAUUUUAUGUAUUGACAAAUCAAAACGGCCAGAGAUCACGAACAGAGUCCGACUUACUCAUGGCGUUGAUCAUCAGAACAUUGUACAAUUUCAUGAGUGGUAUGAAACUAGCAAUCACCUAUGGCUUGUUGUGGAACUGUGCACAGGAGGGUCAUUGGCAAUGGUCAUUGCCCAAGAUGAAUAUUUACAUGAAAAUAUAGUUAGACAGUUUGGUGUUGACUUGGUGAUGGGUUUGCGCCAUAUUCAUGAGCUGGGCAUCAUUUUUUGUGAUCUUAAUCCUGCUAAGAUAUUACUGGAUGGAUCAGGCACACUGAAAUAUAGUAACUUCAGUCUAGCCAAAGCAGAAGGAGAGAAUCUGGAUGAAUUCUUUUCAUUAAUUAGUGGAGAAGAUGACUUGGUUGAAAGCAAUAAUGGCACAGAAAGAACAAAGUCUAAAAUUCGGGCCCGAGGGUCUUCAACUUAUAUGGCUCCAGAAAUUCUGAAAGGUGAAGAUUAUUCUCCAGUCAGUGAUUUAUGGUCUCUAGGCUGUGUCCUGUAUGAGAUGUUCACAGGAAAGCCACCAUUUUUUUCGGAAAACCUUUCUGCAUUGGUUGAGAUGAUUUUGUGUGAAGAUCCACCACCACUCAAGCCUCAAGAAUCGACUGGACAAAAACCUUCCAUUGAAUUUCUUGGUUUGGUUGAAGAAUUGCUUCAGAAAGACCCUUUGAAAAGGUUAAAGUGGAGAGAUUUACUGCAGCAUCCUUUUUGGCAAGGAGCCUUUGCUAGAUGUGAAAAAUCCUUAAAUGAAGAAGAGAACAGAAAAUGCUUGAGUGACAGUGAAAUUUGUUCGCCAGUCAUUGCUAGUGAGUUGCAACAGACUGGAGGAAGAGAAAACCUGCAAACAUCAAGCCUUCAAAUGGACCGCAAACAGCAACAAAAAUCCUACAAAUUGGAAAACCCUGCUGAUUUACAGCCAAAAAGUGCACAGGACUUCAAUUCCAAGGAGUCCAUCUUCUUACUCAGCUCCCAUCCAACACCAAGAACUAGCUCGAAUGUAAGCCACAUCAGCAAUGUAACUCAGAGUGCUCCACCAAAAGGCUCCUCUAUUUCACCACAGGAUAUGGACUCCAAAAUAAGAGGGCUUAUAUACGUUGAGGCUGAUCUCACAGUGACUCCCAUUAUGGAUAACCCUAAGAUAUUGAAACCAACACCCAUGAAGUUUGAUGUGAAAACAUUAAGUGUUCCAGCCUAUUCAGCUGAGAAACUGGUAUCCCUAAAGGGACAGGACUGGACCAAUUUUAUACAACAGCUGUGCUCAUUGAUUGAGGCUGGAGAGAAGACAUCAGGGACUCCAAGAGCUAAGUUGAACUUGAUAUGCUAUCUUUGUUCAGUGACCAGUCACAAAGAUGUUGCUACAAGACUAAUCAACUCACAACUGUUUCCAGUGUUAACACAACAACUGCGCGCAGCUCCAAAUUGGGAUAUUCGUGCCAAAGUGAUUCGCCUGAUUGGCUUACUGGCGUGCCACACAACUGGACUGAAGGAUGAUGUACCAAUCACAGAAGGAGAUCCUGUUACUAAUCAUUUAGCUGCAAAGAUUGUUGAAAAUGUCUGUACCACUAAUUCAUCUCCUGCUCAAGGAUUCAUUACUGGAGAAAUUGGUCUGUUGCUUUGGUUCUUGUUUACACAUUCAACCAUGGACUCAUUGCGGGUGACAACUAUUUCGGCAUUAUGUAGGAUUACUCGCCAUUCUACUAGUGCUUUUCAAACUGUCAUUGACAAGGUCGGCCUAACAGCAGUGCUAAAUUCCCUAGUUGCUGGUAUAAGCCGUGUUCAGCAGUACAUGUUGACCAUGUUUAUUGCUAUGCUGUCAUCUGGUGUCCAUUUGCAAAGACUGGUGCAGGAAAAGGAAUUUGUCACAAAAGUUGCUCGUUUAUUGGAAAGUCCUUCAACAGUAAUUCGAGCGAAAGCUUUCCUUGUCUUAUUGGAAGUUUUAAGGAACAACAAGGAGAUGUUGCUGCUUUGUUGCCAGACAAGGUUAGUGAUGUAUAUUGAAAGAGACAGCAGAAAAGCCACACAGGGAAAGGAGCAGCAAAACAGCAAUGAAUACCUGUCUAAAUGCCUGGAUCUGUUAAUCUGUCAUAUUGUCCAGGAGCUGCCAGGAAUUAUAGGUGGUGUUCUCUCUGCACUGUGUAAUGUUUCUGGGCGCAAGCAUCCAUCAACAAUUCAAGCAAAACAUUUGAAGACAUGUCUACCCCUGAUGCCUGUUAUGCUCCAUCUUGUGACAGCUCAGAUAUUUAGACCCCAGAUUAUCACUGAGGAAUUUCUUGUCAACUGUGGCGCAUUGCUAAAUCACAUUAAAUCUAUUGAUUUGGGAGAAACAAAUUUAGAAAGUGCAGUAGGUCAAGCAGGUUCAGAAGAACUUGUCAGAAUAGUUUUCUCAUCAUGGGAAGCCAUUACUCAGCAUCCAAUGCUACUGAUUACCUAUCAUUCUACAAUUGUUGACUGCAUUCUUCCACCCUUGGUUUCCCUGGUGCUUAGUCAGAAUGUGGAGUGGCGGAUCUUCAGCCUGCGGUUACUGUCAGAAACCACAUCUCUUGUGGCAAACCAUGAGGCUGUGUUAGGAGAGAAAGGGGAGAAUCUUACUUCAAACAGCAAAUUACUGACCCUCAUCCAGGAAUCACUGCUCCCUCAAUAUGACCAGAUUUUGAUGGAACCUGAUCCAGUGCCACUAUAUGCCUUGAAGUUGCUCAUCACCUUAACAGACCAUAGCCCAGUUUUCAUCAGAGUAAUUGAAGAAAGCCAAGUUGUGCCUAUACUGUUCCAGAUUAUUUCGGACCAGCAGAACAAUAUACUAGGCACUGUCAUGCAAAACGUGGUAUUACUUCUCAACAACCUAGUUGCCUAUAAAGGAGCUAACAUGGAAAUGCUUUAUGAGCAAGGUCUAGUUGAUUCUGUCCGUAACUUAUUUAUUGAAACCACAGCUAUCUAUUUCGAAAUGGAUGAUAAAAGUGGCUUGAAGACCACCAAUAAUCUGUUGUUAUAUCUAAUUGAUACCUUACAUAACAUGCUGACGCAUAUAUCUAGUGUUGUCCGCUCUGCUUUGCAGGCUCAGAAGUCAGAUGCAGGAGGGGACACCCAGGCUGCUGAGGAACUUCUGCUUAUCAAUAAACCCCUGACAGACUUAAUUAGCCUGCUUAUUCAACUGCUCUCUAGUGAUGAUCCGGAUGUGCAUGAGAGUUCACUGCUUUCUCUAUCACUCAUGGUUCAGCUGUAUGGUGGUGAAAACCAAGACAGCUUAUCCCCAGAAAAUAUGGACUCUUUUGCAGAAGCUCUGAAACAUAGAAAGGAGCUAAAACAGCAGAAACUUCUACUUCGAGUCAUUAAAAGGCUGGUGAGUUCAAAUGAGAAACACGCAGAAAGCGUUAAGAGCAAAGGACACAUUCUCAUUGAAACCCUUCAAAAGCUGUCCCAAGCUGCCAGGUCCCAUGCUGAUAUUGCCAUUGGAUCUUUGGCUUCUGAAAUCCUGAAAAUCAUUGAGCAGUGAACAGGAGGUAACAGUAAAGCUCCCAGUAACACAUUGUCACUUGGGGCUGAAGAGGAAUUGACCUUGUCCAUUGGUCUCCGUGUUGGCUGGUCUUCUUUGAGCAAAAGAAAGGCUUGAUUCGAUACAAGAGCAAUUCCUUCAAAACAUUGCUGCAAAAUUGGGAAGAAAGAAAGUGAUGAAAAUCAUUUUAAAAGAUCAUUACUUACCAACAGGGUCAGAGCAAACUCAGCCACCCAAGCACGUGCAGCAUUGGUGACAAGAAUCAGUACCUCAGGGACAGUGCUCACAACAGCAGCAAGAGAUGAUGCCAGAGCAUGGUGACUUCAAUGUUGGUGGAUCCACCAGCACAGGGCUCAAGGCAGCAGCUUGGGUUUCAAGAUGACAGUCGGUGGAAAAGGCAGCAUUCGCAUUCACCGUCAGAAUCCAGAUGUCGGGCUUCAGCUGCAGUGAUGGAAGUAGGCACAGUGUCGCAUGUCUAGUAGGUUGACAGGAGCAGCAGUUGCAGCAUGGUAGGCCUGGUGUGGUACUCCUGAAAUGCAGUCGGAGCAAUGGUGGCCCCUAAGCAGGACUCCUGCAAUGCGAGGGCAUUGGUGGGCCCAAGCCUAUUGAGGAUUCCUAGAUUUGAUUACUGGCCUUGACGAUAAUUCCUGCUGUGUAAUUUUAGAACUUCUCCUUGAGCAGUCUCAAAGACCUAAACUCGUGGAUAUGGGCCCAAAAUACAGAAACAUUCUAUGUGCCACUUGCUGACAUUCAGGUGCAGGCACAGCAAGCAAGAUAUAGAAAAAUAAUGUACAACAAGAAAUCCAUUCUGAAGAUUUCAGAAUCUUUACUAUGCAUCUGACAGAUCAGAACUAACCUGGAAAUGCACAAUGACACUGAAUUUCCCCAAGUGUAGGCAUGCAGCAAUCCCAGUGGCAACAUUCCUGACCGAGUCCACAUUAAGGCACAGUAACAGUCACUCCCCGGAAAGUAGUCUGCUCACGGUGUCAUGCUACAUAACCUAGAAAUGGAUUUCCAAGUAACCACACAACAUGGUCUUGCAGCUUUCAAUGAAGUCAGUCGAAUAUUACCAUGCUCCUUCAGAACAGGCAUAUUUAAAUUGGCAAAACAAACAAAAGCAUGGAUACCCCUAGUGCCUGCAACCAUAGUCGUACAGCCUGGAAACAGACCCGUCAGUCUUUUUCUAUUUAUGUACCUGUCCAAAUGUCUUUUAAAUGUUGUAACUGUAUAUCCCCCCAUCACUCUCUC